rnacentral:rRNA from 1 species
GUGUCAGCCGCCGCGGUAAUACAGAGGUGGCAAGCGUUGUUCGGAAUUACUGGGCGUAAAGGGCGCGUAGGCGGCCUUCUAAGUCGGACGUGAAAGCCCCAGGCUUAACCUGGGAACUGCGUCCGAUACUGGGAGGCUUGGAUUCGGGAGAGGGAUGUGGAAUUCCAGGUGUAGCGGUGAAAUGCGUAGAUAUCUGGAGGAACACCGGUGGCGAAGGCGGCAUCCUGGACCGAGAUCGACGCUGAGGCGCGAAAGCUAGGGGAGCAAACGGGAUUAGAUACCCCGGUAGUCCUAGCCCUAAACGAUGAGUGCUUGGUGUGGCGGGUAUCGAUCCCUGCCGUGCCGAAGCUAACGCAUUAAGCACUCCGCCUGGGGAGUACGGUCGCAAGGCUGAA